UUAAGCGACUAAGCGUACACGGUGGAUGCCCUGGCAGUCAGAGGCGAUGAAGGACGUGCUAAUCUGCGAAAAGCGUCGGUAAGGUGAUAUGAACCGUUAUAGCCGGCGAUGUCCGAAUGGGGAAACCCAGUGCAAUUCGUUGCACUAUCGUUUGAUGAAUACAUAGUCAAACGAGGCGAACCGGGGGAACUGAAACAUCUAAGUACCCCGAGGAAAAGAAAUCAACCGAGAUUCCCCCAGUAGCGGCGAGCGAACGGGGAGCAGCCCGGAGUCUGAAUCAGCUUGUGUGUUAGUGGAAGCGUCUGGAAAGUCGCAGGGUACAGGGUGAUACUCCCGUACACUAAAGCACACAGGCUGUGAACUCGAAGAGUAGGGCGGGACACGUGGUAUCCUGUCUGAAUAUGGGGGGACCAUCCUCCAAGGCUAAAUACUCCUGACUGACCGAUAGUGAACCAGUACCGUGAGGGAAAGGCGAAAAGAACCCCGGCGAGGGGAGUGAAAAAGAACCUGAAACCGUGUACGUACAAGCAGUAGGAGCCUCUUUAUGGGGUGACUGCGUACCUUUUGUAUAAUGGGUCAGCGACUUAUAUUCUGUAGCAAGGUUAACCGUAUAGGGGAGCCGCAGGGAAACCGAGUCUUAACUGGGCGUUAAGUUGCAGGGUAUAGACCCGAAACCCGGUGAUCUAGCCAUGGGCAGGUUGAAGGUUGGGUAACACUAACUGGAGGACCGAACCGACUAAUGUUGAAAAAUUAGCGGAUGACUUGUGGCUGGGGGUGAAAGGCCAAUCAAACCGGGAGAUAGCUGGUUCUCCCCGAAAGCUAUUUAGGUAGCGCCUCGUGAACUCAUCUUCGGGGGUAGAGCACUGUUUCGGCUAGGGGGUCAUCCCGACUUACCAACCCGAUGCAAACUACGAAUACCGAAGAAUGUUAUCACGGGAGACACACGGCGGGUGCUAACGUCCGUCGUGAAGAGGGAAACAACCCAGACCGCCAGCUAAGGUCCCAAAGUCAUGGUUAAGUGGGAAACGAUGUGGGAAGGCCCAGACAGCCAGGAUGUUGGCUUAGAAGCAGCCAUCAUUUAAAGAAAGCGUAAUAGCUCACUGGUCGAGUCGGCCUGCGCGGAAGAUGUAACGGGGCUAAACCAUGCACCGAAGCUGCGGCAGCGACACUAUGUGUUGUUGGGUAGGGGAGCGUUCUGUAAGCCGUUGAAGGUGGCCUGUGAGGGUUGCUGGAGGUAUCAGAAGUGCGAAUGCUGACAUAAGUAACGAUAAUGCGGGUGAAAAACCCGCACGCCGGAAGACCAAGGGUUCCUGUCCAACGUUAAUCGGGGCAGGGUGAGUCGACCCCUAAGGCGAGGCCGAAAGGCGUAGUCGAUGGGAAACAGGUUAAUAUUCCUGUACUCGGUGUUACUGCGAAGGGGGGACGGAGAAGGCUAUGUUGGCCGGGCGACGGUUGUCCCGGUUUAAGCAUGUAGGCGGAUGUUCCAGGUAAAUCCGGAACGUUACUAACGCUGAGGUGUGAUGACGAGGCACUACGGUGCUGAAGUGACAAAUGCCCUGCUUCCAGGAAAAGCCUCUAAGCAUCAGGUAACAUCAAAUCGUACCCCAAACCGACACAGGUGGUCAGGUAGAGAAUACCAAGGCGCUUGAGAGAACUCGGGUGAAGGAACUAGGCAAAAUGGUGCCGUAACUUCGGGAGAAGGCACGCUGAUAGGUAGGUGAAGUGGUUUACCCAUGGAGCUGAAAUCAGUCGAAGAUACCAGCUGGCUGCAACUGUUUAUUAAAAACACAGCACUGUGCAAACACGAAAGUGGACGUAUACGGUGUGACGCCUGCCCGGUGCCGGAAGGUUAAUUGAUGGGGUUAUCCGUAAGGAGAAGCUCUUGAUCGAAGCCCCGGUAAACGGCGGCCGUAACUAUAACGGUCCUAAGGUAGCGAAAUUCCUUGUCGGGUAAGUUCCGACCUGCACGAAUGGCGUAAUGAUGGCCAGGCUGUCUCCACCCGAGACUCAGUGAAAUUGAACUCGCUGUGAAGAUGCAGUGUACCCGCGGCAAGACGGAAAGACCCCGUGAACCUUUACUAUAGCUUGACACUGAACACUGGUCCUUGAUGUGUAGGAUAGGUGGGAGGCUUUGAAGCGUGGACGCCAGUCUGCGUGGAGCCAUCCUUGAAAUACCACCCUUUAAUGGCUGGUGUUCUAACGUGGGCCCGUUAUCCGGGUUGCGGACAGUGUCUGGUGGGUAGUUUGACUGGGGCGGUCUCCUCCUAAAGAGUAACGGAGGAGCACGAAGGUCAGCUAAUCCUGGUCGGACAUCAGGAGGUUAGUGCAAUGGCAUAAGCUGGCUUGACUGCGAGCGUGACGGCGCGAGCAGGUGCGAAAGCAGGUCAUAGUGAUCCGGUGGUUCUGAAUGGAAGGGCCAUCGCUCAACGGAUAAAAGGUACUCCGGGGAUAACAGGCUGAUACCGCCCAAGAGUUCAUAUCGACGGCGGUGUUUGGCACCUCGAUGUCGGCUCAUCACAUCCUGGGGCUGAAGUAGGUCCCAAGGGUAUGGCUGUUCGCCAUUUAAAGUGGUACGCGAGCUGGGUUUAGAACGUCGUGAGACAGUUCGGUCCCUAUCUGCCGUGGGCGCUGGAGAAUUGAGGGGGCUGCUCCUAGUACGAGAGGACCGGAGUGGACGCAUCACUGGUGUUCGGGUUGUCAUGCCAAUGGCAUUGCCCGGUAGCUAAAUGCGGAAGAGAUAAGUGCUGAAAGCAUCUAAGCACGAAACUUGCCCCGAGAUGAGUUCUCCCUGACUCCUUGAGAGUCCUGAAGGAACGUUGAAGACGACGACGUUGAUAGGCCGGGUGUGUAAGCGCAGCGAUGCGUUGAGCUAACCGGUACUAAUGAACCGUGAGGCUUAACCUU
rnacentral:rRNA from 2 species